UAUGUUUAUACUUUAUACUGUUACUAUAUAUAUUGUCUUUGCUCGUUUUAAUUUUGAUUUUUGUGAUUUUUGUAUUGGUUUUGGUGUUUUUACUCUACAAUCUGAAGUUGUUCUCUUUGCUUUGUAUUUCAAAUCUCGGGUUAGAAAUUUUCCUUCGCAGAUUCACACAGAACUUUCCCCUUCGCUAUUCACCAGCAGUAGCCGGGCUCGGGCGUCAAAGUUUUGAGAUUAUAGAUGGACCACUUAUACAGUACUCAGGAUCGUUUAGUACGCGGACUAAAUUAUUCGGGGAUUAUAAUUCUAAAAUUAUAAUCCCUGGACUAGUUUACCCAGGUGGGAAAAUAUAAUCCCAAGUUUAAUGGGAUAAGGAAAAGGCUCUUGCAUUUCUUUACUAAAGCUGGUCGGUGUUGAUGACCUCGAAUAAAAAUUGAGACGACAAGCACUUCUAGGGGACAAGUUCACUUCUUUUUAAUGCAUGUGAUUGUAGUUGUGAAGGGUAAUCUCUCAAGCAUCCGAUUCGAGGGGGUGCUUAAAUCAGAGUAGAAGGUGUAUAUAUUUGGCCGUUCAGACAACUUCGGAUAGUAGCUUACAGGUUAUUCAGGGGUACGAAAAGUUCGUGGGCCUACAUUACUCAAAGAUGUUUGGAAUCUACCACCGGGGAAGACAAUUGUUGUGCAGUUUAAUUGUCGUAAUCAAGCUAUUGGAAAAGAGGUUCAAAAGCUUGCUAGCUUUCUAGGCAUCGUCGCUAGAACUCCGGAACUAACACCAUUAAACGUAGAUGAUUGGCGAGCAUUUGAUAAAGAAGAAAUUGGUGGAGUUUAAGAAAUUCUCAAUCCCAAUACGUGGAGAAGAGUUUAUAAAAAAGUCAAUAGAGAAGAAACGGAAGGACUAUAAAUGUGAUCUGAAGACUAUGUAUGUGACCAAAUAUAAGACCAAAGAUGCCUUGAUGAAAAAUAGACCAAGUCACAUACCAAUGGAUCAAUGGAUUGGUCUCACCUCGUAUUGGCUUUCUGAUAAAGCAAAGAAGCGUAGUCAAGCAAAUAGAAUCAGUAGGGCUAAGCAAAAGAUGCCUCACACCGGAGGAUCCAAAAGCAUAGCAACUUUGAUGAAUGAAAAGGCUAUAGAUGGAAUAGAACCUACACGUGAAGAAGUUUACAUAUUAACUCAUACAAUGCGUAAGGAUGGUAAACCACCGGAUGAGGAGUCUUCAAAUACUAUUGUCUUAACGAAUAUGCUCAACCUGUGUCAUAAAUUAUUUGUUUAUCUUCUACUUUACUGUGUCAUAAAUUGUUAUCUCUAUUACUCUCGGGACAUGAUGAAUGAGAGGUUGAGUAAUGGCGAGACAUCUAAUGAACAACAUCGUGGUGAUGUUGCUGGGGAAGGAGAUGUGUAUUCUCAAGUGUUUGGAACUGAAAAAAGUGGUUAUGUUCGUGGUUUAGGACUUGGUCCUACCCCUUCUCUAUUACGGGGUGGUAAAUCUUCCUUACGAAAUGCUGUUGCUGAUGGUUUGUCUAAUGAGGCUGCACAUAAGUUAGAACAAGAGAUAAAGAAGUUAAAGGAGUUGAAUAAAAAAUAGGAUGAAGAAAUUGCUUUGAUGAAAAAAAAUCAAUAUAUGCUAGUGUCGGAAUUAUCAUGGAUGAGACAAUUUAUGUGCAAAUAUGCUUCUACUGAAUUAUAUGGGCCUCAAAACAAUGGAAUCACUACUAGACAGGUUCAUGAUGCCAAUAGCGGCAAUAAACAAGCAACGCAAGCACCACGGAUGCCAUCAGUGACAUCAAGUUCCUUCUUCUCGCAAGGAACUUAAACAAGGAAAUUUGGCUCUAAGGUCACACAACGAUAGCUGACAAGAGUAGCACAUUGUUAAUAAAAGGAAGAGAGGAUCGAGAAUAUCACAUUGUUGAUGAGAGACUCGGUUUCCAAUUUGAUGUUUAGUUGUCUUGUACAUAAGGAUACUACAUUUCUUACAAGUCGAUAAAUAAGUUGUUGUGUCGGAUUUGUUAGUUCUUGUUUCAAGUAAAUGACAUUGUUUUGAGUUUGAUAAUUCUUCUAGUUAGAAGGUAUUGCUCUUGUGAUC